AUAAGCCUCUUUGUUUAGGCAGAACUUGUAUGUGUUAUUUGCAAGAAAAGAGGCAGUCAUCUUUGGUGAUUUCUCUCCUUUGUGCUUGGCUUUAAGCCAAUUGUUUUCCCCAUUUUUCUCCUCCUUCGUGGUUGCAAUUAAUCACCAGAUUUGUAUCCUUUGUGGGCACAAGAAAUUAGGCAACUGAAGUGAAUAGGGUUGUGGGUUCGAGCAACCUUGGUUGUUAUUUGAUUGUUUGUAUUGGAAAAUUGAGCCCAAUUUUAUGCACGAAUCGAAGUACUUUCUCGACAAAUGGUAUUAUAAGUAACGCAUGAGAGUGUCUUGUGCAUUUGAGAGCUUUGCGUGGUGUCUUCGUUCUUCUCCUCUUCCUUUGUGAUAUUGCAGCCACCAUAUUAUUCUUAGUGGAUAAUGUUAUUGGGUAACCAUGAGCGAGGUUUGGAUUUGGGUUGAGAAAUUAAAUGGUUGGUGUUUGAUUUGUUGGCUGAAAAUGAGCCCGAAUUUCCAUGAUAAAUGGCAUCACAGCUUGGCUUUAUGGUCUUGGAGUUUAAAAUCUAUGUUAAAAGGUGCAGAUAAAUAAGGUAAAAAGUAGUAGAAACCGUUAUGCAGAAAAAUUGAUCGAAAAUUUGUUGAAAAUCAAAUUGAUCGAACAUACUUUCGAGAUAAUUAAAAGAUUAAAAGAUCUAGUGGGGGAAAUGGAGGACAUAUUAGGACUCCUAACAUCGAGGUAAAGAUGACAAGAUAAGAUAUGCACCACCACAAAAUGGUAGCGCGUGAGCACUACGCGGAGAGGCGGUAGCAUGCGUGAGAGCGCAUCGAUGAGAUUCUGGUGAUGGUCCAAAAAGAAAGGUUACUCUUGGAGGCUCUUUAGACUCUGCAGUGGUGUUCAUUCUCCAUUUUAGGCAAUAUUUUAGUUCUGGACCAUUUUUCCCUUUGUCGUUCAGAUCAUGAGCCUUUGGUGUUCGUG
rnacentral:lncRNA from 1 species